UUCGCCCUUAGAGUUUGAUCCUGGCUCAGAGCGAACGCUGGCGGCAGGCUUAACACAUGCAAGUCGAGCGGGCGCAGCAAUACGUCAGCGGCAGACGGGUGAGUAACGCGUGGGAACGUACCUUUUGGUUCGGAACAACACAGGGAAACUUGUGCUAAUACCGGAUAAGCCCUUACGGGGAAAGAUUUAUCGCCGAAAGAUCGGCCCGCGUCUGAUUAGCUAGUUGGUGAGGUAACGGCUCACCAAGGCGACGAUCAGUAGCUGGUCUGAGAGGAUGAUCAGCCACAUUGGGACUGAGACACGGCCCAAACUCCUACGGGAGGCAGCAGUGGGGAAUAUUGGACAAUGGGGGCAACCCUGAUCCAGCCAUGCCGCGUGAGUGAUGAAGGCCCUAGGGUUGUAAAGCUCUUUUGUGCGGGAAGAUAAUGACGGUACCGCAAGAAUAAGCCCCGGCUAACUUCGUGCCAGCAGCCGCGGUAAUACGAAGGGGGCUAGCGUUGCUCGGAAUCACUGGGCGUAAAGGGUGCGUAGGCGGAUCUUUAAGUCAGAGGUGAAAGCCUGGAGCUCAACUCCAGAACUGCCUUUGAUACUGGGGAUCUUGAGUUCGGGAGAGGUGAGUGGAACUGCGAGUGUAGAGGUGAAAUUCGUAGAUAUUCGCAAGAACACCAGUGGCGAAGGCGGCUCACUGGCCCGAUACUGACGCUGAGGCACGAAAGCGUGGGGAGCAAACAGGAUUAGAUACCCUGGUAGUCCACGCCGUAA
rnacentral:rRNA from 1 species